UUUUAGACAUUCAAUGAUGUCAUCUUCAUCGACUAAUCAACAGUGGACAUUGAGCAAUUUGCUCAAAAUUGCAACAGAAAAAAAAGGAAGAAGAUCAAGCAGGCCGAGUCCCAAGCAUCCGCUCACACUCCAUGUGUGGGGGGGGAAAUUUCUCGCCAGGGACCAGUCCCAUAUUUGAUUUUUGAUGGUAUCAUGGCUCAAGAUUUCUUUGAGGAAGAAAUCAUCAAGAGAUAUGCUGGACCCUAUGUCAGAGGUGUUUCUGGGACCACAUAGUUUCUAUCAAGACCAAAACACACUGCCGGCCCCGGGUUUGCGUUGCAAACGAGGACAUAAAUUGGGUCAAGACGCCAGCAGAGUCUCCUGAUUUAAACCCGAUCGAACUUGUCUGGCAUCAACUGAAAACAUUCAUCCGUAACUUUGCCAAGCGGACAAGCAAAGAUUAACUGGUCAAGGCCAUCAAGAUGUUUUGUCUAGAAGAAUUGACAAUACAAUGCAACAAAUGCAUUGACCAUCUCACAAAAGUUUUUUACCUGUGGCCGUGGAGCUGGGUGGAAGUGUGACUAAAAUGUUGUUUAAAUAAACAUCUGCAUUUGAAUGCAUUUUUUCUCGUUAUUUAAUUAACGAAAGCAUAAAGAUGUUGAUGAAGAAAUAC